CGUCCCUCCUACUGUCGCCGGCGCUCGACUUGGCCCCGCGGGUCCCACCUCGGUUGCCGACUCGUCCUCGGUCGCCGUCGGGUGCAGCAGAGACCACGUCCUCUACCUUACUCGGAGACUCAAUUCCUCCACUCCAUUUAUAUUUCUUUUAUUUCCAAAAAAUCGAAAAAACUCCUUUAUUUUUAUUUGUUUUCGUAAGAUAAAUAUUUUCUAAAUCCAUUUUUCGGUGUUUCAAGAAUAAUAAUUCACAUUUAACAUGAAUUUAAUCUCUUUCAGUGCUAUUAUACAUAUAUAUAUAUAUAUAUAUAUAUUAAAUUCUCAUGUGUAAUAAUAAUUAGGGUUAUUACACAUGAAUCAAGCUAAAUCGAGGACAGAUGAAACCUCAACUGCACCUCUCCCUAUUGUGUGUUGGGGAAUUCAUAUGGAUUGUUCUUUUGUGGGUUUAUACGAGCAGGCGGAGAGGAGUGGGGAGAGAGAUUUGGAGAGGGAAGAGGAGGGGGGUUGACAGAAGAGAGUGAGCACAGGGAGGGAACAAAAAAUGAUGGGAUGGCGCUGCUGUUUCCGCUGCGUGCUCACUCCUCAUCCUGUCAGCCUUAUCUUCUUCUUCCUCUUCGGCCUCGGUAGUAGAGUAGAGUGGAGUCCUAAUAUGAUUGCUCGCUGUACCAGUCGAGAUCGAUCUUUUGUUGCUGCUCUUUUUUUUUGCCUCUCGUUUUCGUUUGCUUUGCGUUGGAAACUGCUUGAUCAAGGAUUUCGCGUGUAGUUUUCUAUCGGAGGCCUCAGAUUUGAGCUUAAAGAAAUGAGAUUUGGGAGGCGGAAGCGGGACUUUUUAGAGGCCAAGUACCAAUUCACAUUGAGGCGAUAGUUCGAAGGUACUUCACGCUGCGUUCCUCCUCUCACUCUCUAACUGCGUACUGAGUGCUUCAACGAAUCUACUGUUUCACCAUUGCUUCUCUCUCUCUCUCUCUCUCUCUCGUUUCUUGUUCUUGUUCUUUGGAUAUACAUCUUUGAGCAAAGCUGGGAUUUUGAUGGCAGUCUUGAGAGCUGUGUUUCCUUUCCCUUUCUUUCUUUUUCUUCCGUGUGACUUUUGAGUCUUCUUUCAUUUUUCUUCCAUCGUUUGCCAUCUUAUCGCCAAAGUUCAGAUUUUUUUGGGUCUUCAACGAAUCCUACUUUCCGGUGUGGACGACAAUAAUGAAACUUGAGCCGGUUCUUUUUUCUAGGGUUUCUUUUCCAAGAAGCGAAGACGCUUUUGGAUCCGACAAAAAGAAAGCUGGGAUCUCUCUUUUCCCUUUCACGAAUUUGUUUUGUUGUGGUUUUUGUUACUGCAGUGCCUUAUUAUUCCAUGGAGUUGUCUCCUUCCUUCUUCAGGUUUCUUGUGUUUUUGACAGUGGAAAUUAUGAACUUACACUUCGAGGGACCUUGAGUGCUCUCUCUCUCUUUCUCUCUCUCUCUCUCUCUCUCUCUCUCUCUUUGUUUUGUUUCGAUCUGUGAAGGAACUGAUUCCCGGAGGCUAUUUGAGGCUUCCCAAGAUCACUCCUUUUGCCUGAAUUACCCCUUCUUUUAUUGUCUAUUCAUUGGUUUCUAUUUUGCUUGUAGAUGGUGAUGAAUGAAUGGCCUUGUGGAAGGCCAAAACCAGGUCUUUGUAGAAUUUUGGUACCACGGAUGUGCAGCUAGGCCAACUUUCCACUUUUAUUUUUUUCUUCCUUUUGUCUGCAAACAUUGCAUUGAAUAUUCUUGCCUGCUCAUUUACUCUCAGUAGCUCUUGGUUUGUUGAAGAAAGUUCUCUCUUAUGUUGUACACCAUGAUAGUUUGGUUUGUCUUUUUUUAGAUGUCAGGGUAUGGGUAACUUGAUCUUUAUGGAGAAUUGGAUUUGGGGGUAAUAUUAAUAUGUCAAACACUUGAUGCCCAACCACGAGGAAAUCAUGGACAUGUAGUUCCAAACUUCGAAACUUUAUGUGGGAGAGUAGACAGCUCAGUUUUGGUUUUCCACAUAUUAGUUCUUCGACAAGCUAAAAAGAACUACGAGCCAAGUUCUCAGUGGUUACUGUGACUGUUAAAUCGAUCAGGAUAUUUGAACCUCCCAUUAUUAAUUGCCUUAAGGCUAUUUUUAUGGACUAAUAUUCUUAUUUAUAGCUUAUGAUCUGUUGAUAGUGAUAAUAGCAAUCAACAAAAUGUCUUGCCACAGAAUUAGUUUCACUGGCAAAAUCAUGCAAGCAGUUAUUUUUAUGAAUGAAACCUAUGCGUGAUGGUCUUUUUCUUGCAUUUGGUUUGGCAUUAUGCUCUUAUCAAUGUAUAUGACUAUUGUCAAAUCAAUUGGGAUAUUAUGAGUUCCCAUUCUUAUGUCUUAAGGCAAUUCUAGUGGGGGAAUUUUCUCUUUCUUUAGAUUAUAGUUUAUUGUUAGUGGAUAAGAGCCAUCAACGAAUUGUCUUGGUACAAAAUAAUUUCACUUCCAAAUAAAUAAAGGCAGUUAUUUGUGUGACUCAAACCUCUAGUUGAUUGUCUUAGCAUUUGAUUUGGCAUUAUGCUAUUUUUAGUUCUCAAUAGUUACUAAGAUGUUAAAUCAAUCAUGAUAUUUUUAGUACUCAUUCUUAUGUCUUAUGACAAAUGUUAUGAAGGAAUAUUUCUUUGUUUUAUAUCUUACAGUUUGCUUUUAGUUAUAAAACCAAUUGGAAGGAUGUUUUGCUGAAAAUUGAUUCACUGCGAAUGCUCCAAGCAGUUCUUUAUGAAAGUGAUUGUCUUUUGAAACAUUUCAUUUGGCAUUAUGCUCUUAUUUUAGUUAUCAAAUAAAUUGACUAAUAAAACCUAUCACCCAUAUUACUAUUUAAUCGCUCAGGUUAUAGGGAGGUUUAUCUUUCAGGACUACCUAGAUUAUUUGACACUAUAGCAGGCACCACAGCCCACAUUGGUUCUCUGACCUUGUCCAUGUAACUCCAGUUUGGAAGUAUUAGAAUGAAUCAUCCACUGCUAUAGCAUGUAAACCAUGCUUAUUAGCAGUUGUUUCUCAGCCUUGCACCACAAACAGGAAAUUAUCAGAAAAGAAGAUGACUCUUUGGACUCAUUUUCAACACUACAGAGGGUGCAGAUUGGGUCAGGUUCCAGACUAUUGCAUUUGUUCGAUGACUUCGGUUGACAGUCUUAUUGGUGGCAAACCAGUAUUUUGAUCUUUUGAGUCACUAGACAGUCAAAAUAGCCUCUAGAGAGCAAACUGAAUGCCACAGGGUAGAAAAGUGUGUGGAUUCGAUGAUCAUUUGGUAGUAAGGUGGCAAAUCUUGUUUUACCUGUGCCAAUGUGUGAAGGAAAAUUAUUACUUGGAUCCUAAAUCUGGUGCAACAGAACUACAUCUUAUUCAAUUUAAUUUUUUGUUUGUAGCACUGGAAAAUAUAGGACUUGGGAUUACGUCAUGCCUGCACAAGGUGAAGUAAAAAAAUGUCCAACAUAUAUAAGUAUAAAGAAUCCAAGUGUUACACUAUAAGCUAAAUCACAGAAAUUUCCUUCCAUAUAUAGCCAUGCACUAUAGUCACCUCAUCCCACCUUGUGCCUUUGGUGCUCACAAUUCCCUCCUAGACCAAAAGACUAACUGUUUACUUCCACAUUUUGCUAUGCACUCUGUGUGAAAGCUGCUGUUGAACUAGAAAAAUCCACCACCACUUGACAUGGCAGCGACCCUGUGACGCAUGAACACUUCAAAUUGCUUGCUGCAUCUGUGUCAGGGUACAAGCCUGCUGUAAACCAUGUUGAGGGCAAUUGAAGACCUGACCAUUUGAUUGAUUGAUGGAUGAUUUUGCAGCCAAUAAUUACUGCGAUACAAGGGCUUUCAUCUACAUCCAUGUUUAAGAAAUGAAAAAGACAUGAGAUGGCAACUGAAUUGGUACUUUUGGAGCCAAAGGAAAAGGUUACAAUCGCUGUUGUUUGAUGGAUUAGUCUCAGGUACGUGCCGAAGGAGUUGCGAGUCCGUGUUCGAACUACCAGCCGAAGCGCAUGAGCUCCUACAAUGUGCAAAUUCAAAAUGAAAUCUCAAAUUUAAUCAUUCAAGCUGAUUCUAUAAAUAUGGCUCAGACUGUGAAAUUGAAGAAAAGAGAAUCCUUCCGAGUUGGAAAGUAUUAUUUAGGAUUGAUUCGAGCAUCGCGCAAACCACUGCGGAUGGAUGAUAAUCUAAGUUGCUGAUUAGUUGACAAUUUUUUUAGUACUUUUGUGAAAUGUACAUGGGUGGACUUUUGUUUUUCGAUGGAUUAGUUUUAUUAAUGUAAUAAUUUUCAUUUGACAAACACUUCAAAGCUUAAACUGAGCAAUCUAAGAGAAUUUGCUGUUCUAUGAA